AACGCUCCGCACCGGGGAAGGAUGAGAAGCUUCGACUAAGGUUCGAGUCUCACGCAGUGAGACAACGCGCUUUAGCGCGGCCCGCAGGGUGAGUCG
rnacentral:sRNA from 1 species